AUAUUCCAGAAACCCGAUGCUGGCUCCCUCAUUUUCCAUAGACCUCAUUGGGCAAGAGCUUGUUGCUCUUGCAGAGGACCAGCACCCACAUGGUGGCUCACAACUGUCUGUAACUCCAAUUACUGGGGAUCUGACGCCCUCUUCUGGACUGCACAGGCACUGCAUUCAUAUAACAUACAUCCAUGCACUCAGGGCUGGGACUGCAGGCAAGUGCCAUGUGUCGCCUUGACCAGGACAUGGGAUGCUGGGGCUCAAAACCAAGAAUUCCUGCACAGCGGGCAAGUGUUCGAGUUCCACCAACUGAACAACAUUCUCAUCCUGACAUACUCUUUUUGGGGGUUGAAGCGAACAAUGACCCAACAUCUCCUAGCUCCCCACACAAUGAGCAAUUAAAUUACUCCUUUCGGUUUCUGAAGUUUCAGCCAGUGGAUGAAUCCGUUCAGGCUGACGGCUGAGGCGGAAGGACGGUGAGCUCUAGGCCAGCCUGGACUACACAGUGAAGCCCAGCUUAAAAAAGAAAAAAACGGCCAGUGUCUUGGAGAAAACUGAGUUUCCAGCAGCUGGUACUCAUGUCCUUGUGACUCAGACAGCUUGGGCUCAUGAGCUCUACUCAGCUGACCUGUUGUAAUCGUCUGGGUAUAAAUUGUCUGAUGUUCUGAAUACGGGUGGGUAUUGAAGGAGACUUCAGGUUUGUUUUNUUUUUUUUUUUUUUUUUUUUUAGCACCCCCUAUCUCCUAGGUUCAUGCAAUAGAUAAAUAAGUAUUAAAAUGUGCUCAGUAUCACUAACCAAGGAAACUCAAAGCACAAUUACUGCCUCUUAUCUGUUAUGGCUAUUACAAAAACCAUAAAAGAAACAAAUACUGACACGUGUGCAUAGAAAAGGGACUCAGUGUAGACUGUGAGUGGACUGUGAACUGGUGCAGUCACAUGAAAAACAGUACAAAGCACCUUUUUUUUNNNNNNNNNNNNNNNNNNNNNNNNNNNNNNNNNUUCAAAUUAAAAAUCUAGUAACU
ensembl:antisense Bcas3os1 breast carcinoma amplified sequence 3, opposite strand 1